rnacentral:rRNA from 1 species
GACGAACGCUGGCGGCGCGCCUAACACAUGCAAGUCGAACGAGCGAGAGAGAGCUUGCUUUCUCAAGCGAGUGGCGAACGGGUGAGUAACGCGUGAGGAACCUGCCUCAAAGAGGGGGACAACAGUUGGAAACGACUGCUAAUACCGCAUAAGACCACGACCCGGCAUCGGGUAGAGGGAAAAGGAGCACUCCGCUUUGAGAUGGCCUCGCGUCCGAUUAGCUAGUUGGUGAGGUAACGGCCCACCAAGGCGACGAUCGGUAGCCGGCCUGAGGGGUUGAACGGCCACAUUGGAACUGAGACACGGCCCAGACUCCUACGGGAGGCAGCAGUGGGGAAUAUUGCACAAUGGGGGAAACCCUGAUGCAGCGACGCCGCGUGGAGGAAGAAGGUCUUCGGAUUGUAAACUCCUGUUGUUGAGGAAGAUAAUGACGGUACUCAACAAGGAAGUGACGGCUAACUACGUG